AGUAAGCAAGCGGCACCAUGAAGACCAAGGAGCUCUCCAAACAGAGAGGCCCUGCUGGCUGAGAUGGGUGUGGCCAUGAGGGAAGAUGGAGGAACUGUGGGAGUUUUCUCCCCCAAGUAGGCCUGCGUAGGACAAAGCAGCUAACGAGGCACUGCUCUGUCAGCUGUCGUAGGCAGGAGAAGAGGGGUCCUUUUAUGUUUCCAUAUAUCAAUGUGUGAAUCCUUCUCAACAGUAAUGUGACUUUGUGGAUUGAAAUAAAGUAUUUAAAA